UGUCACUAUAGGUUGGUAUGUACCCAAUUGUGACUAAACCAAAAGAAACAAAUCUGGAAACUGAAGUAUCAAUACGUGAAAAGCGUUCUUUUGGUAUUGGGAGUGCCAGUUGUCUUUGUUUCAUGAACUACUUCUCCGUAAUAGCAUGCAGCCAUCUUCAAGAGGUAAAACAGCAUCCCCAGGAUAAACAGGUUUAACUUGCACAUACCAGAAGCUUGGCUUAGUGACCCUCAAAGGAGUUUUCACUUCCUCCAAAGUCCUAUAUGUGGUCGCCUCCGAUAUCUGCCGUAUACAACUGUCUCCUGGUGACCACCUCCCUGUGAGACAGCAGAUACAACCUACCCCUCUGGCCUUCUCACCUCUCGUGGACUGUGUAGAUGCUGCAGUGGCCCCUGCUCAGUUACAGUGUGACUAUUGGACUUGUUCCUGCUUGCUAUAAGCCCACUGUAUUAGUCCAUUCUCACGCUGCUAAUAAAAACGUACCUGAAAC
rnacentral:lncRNA from 10 species